rnacentral:rRNA from 1 species
AGCGAACGCUGGCGGCAGGCCUAACACAUGCAAGUCGAACGAACCUUUCGGGGUUAGUGGCGGACGGGUGAGUAACACGUGGGAACGUGCCUUUAGGUUCGGAAUAACUCAGGGAAACUUGUGCUAAUACCGAAUGUGCCCUUCGGGGGAAAGAUUAAUCGCCUUUAGAGCGGCCCGCGUCUGAUUAGCUAGUUGGUUGAGGUAAUGGCUCACCAAGGCGACGAUCAGUAGCUGGUCUGAGAGGAUGAUCAGCCACAUUGGGACUGAGACACGGCCCAAACUCCUACGGGAGGCAGCAGUGGGGAAUCUUGCGCAAUGGGCGAAAGCCUGAAGCAGCCAUGCCGCGUGAAUGAUGAAGGUCUUAGGAUUGUAAAAUUCUUUCACCGGGGACGAUAAUGACGGUACCCGGAGAAGAAGCCCCGGCUAACUUCGUG